ACAAAAUCAGUUACUGCUUUUAAUUCUGGAAAUUGCUGUGGUACAGGAUAGUUAAAGGAGCAUCUAGCUUCAAUACGUGCCAUCGUAAAAACGGUUAGGAAAUGUGCUCUUAAGUCAGACGGCUGAGUAGACUUUGCUUGUCAACACCUGGGAGGGGAUGGUGACUGACGUCUGACAGGGAGAGGCGAGAUGUUACAGUGCUUCCUAAAACCACAGGGCAGCUUCCCCCCAAGGCCCUCAAGUGUCAACAGUGUGGCGCUGAGAAGAAACGCUGUAAUUACAGGAUCUUUCUGCUGGACCAGAUCUCUCAUUGACUACUUCUGUGACCUUUACUAGGCUGGUUAACAUCUUUCCAUCUUCCCCCACCUGCAAAAGGGGAAUUGUAAAAGGCCCACCGGAAACCUGUAAAGCAUUGUAGAGUGUAAGCUAAUUAUGACGAUGCUUGCCCUGGGCACGCCCUAGGGUUAAGGCAGAGCAGCAUUCGAAACACUGUUUCACCAACGAGAAAACAAACACAGAAAAACUAACUGGCUUACUGAGCACACAAGGCCGGACACAGCAGCGAUCCAGAGGGAAGGUGAUGAAACCCCACUUUUCUCACAGCAACCUUGCAGAUAUCGACACUUGGAGAGGAAGGAAGGCAAGCCAAGGGAUCUAAAGAGGCUGUCCCUGCUUUGGGUCAUCUGAAAGCAGCCGUCUUACAUGACAAUAAACAGAACUAGACUGGUGGAGUGGUGAACCAAGGGUUCAGCUACAUAUACACACCAUCAACUCAAAACAUCCUUUAAUUUAGUUAACAGAGCUGUAUUGUUGACAGAGAUUCCCAUCAAUAAAAAGAUAUGAUUACAUGA